GAGGUUUUCAAUGUUUAAGAAACUGUUUAAGAAGUUUUCUUUAUGAUCAAAAUAUGUUUAUUCUCUCAAUUUCUGAACCAAUAAUUGGCUUGUCAUUUUAAAGCCUUAACAAAGUUAUUGUGGCAAAAUAUUUUCUUGAAAAAUAAUGCAUCUAAUUUUCGACUUCCUGUGGCCCUACUACUAUCCUUGCUUCCCAAAACAAAGGUCUCCAACUCAGGCAAAUACAGUCUCUGCAAAGUGGAACUCAAAAUAUUAACGAGUCACUGCAAGAAAGAAUACAGUGUAAAGGAAAUUUGGAUGGGACUGCAAGUAAAAUCAAUGAAGUCUAUCCAAAUGUAGAUCCUGGAGGAAUACAAUCUGUGUCUCUUACAUCAAGAAAGACUUAGUACUCUCCAAGAAUACCAUUUUGUACCAAGUUCAAACUGGAGGAUCACAAGUCUUUACAUGUGACUUAGGAAACAGGAAGAAGCAACCAAACCAAUCUAAGUGAGGCUUCAUUAAGGAAACCCUUACCUACAAGGCAUCGGCGAGUUUGGGACUUAAGCAUUUGCUGCCUGAUCCUCCUUGCUUGGGC
rnacentral:lncRNA from 10 species